ACGUAUGUCGCAAGCGUUAUCCGGAUUUAUUGGGCGUAAAGCGCGUCUAGGCGGUUUGGUAAGUCUGAUGUGAAAAUGCGGGGCUCAACUCCGUAUUGCGUUGGAAACUGCCAAACUAGAGUACUGGAGAGGUGGGCGGAACUACAAGUGUAGAGGUGAAAUUCGUAGAUAUUUGUAGGAAUGCCGAUGGGGAAGCCAGCCCGCUGGACAGAUACUGACGCUAAAGCGCGAAAGCGUGGGUAGCAAACAG
rnacentral:rRNA from 1 species